UGAAUUGAAGUGGAUAUAAGGAUGUUACAAUAUGGAUUUGAGAGCUAAGGUAUGGAAGAAGAGCUGAUGCUUCCAAUGGUUGUACCUAGUGCAAUUGAUCUAGUACACAGCUGUUGGAGAGUUGAUUUAGAUAAGGACGAUACAACUUUCUUAGAUUGCAAUUCAUACCCCUCGAGUUUAGUUUGUUUAUAUAAGCAAUUACCUAUUCCUAUUGUAAUAGUUCAUUUAGACCCCUUAGUUAGGAUAUAUAUAUAUAUAUAUAUAUAUAUAUAUAUAUAUAUAUAUAGUUCUUUAACUGUAUAAUAAGAGUGGGUCAUAUGGACAACGAAGGGUAAUCAGUAAUUACAAGCUUCAAGAGAUACACCUGUCCGUCCAUCUUCAAAUGCAAAACAGAGCCAGACAAUUGAAAGAUUUGAAGCUCAGACAUGGCUAUUGUCAACUGAAACUUAUGUACCAGCAUAGAUUAGACUUGGAUAUUCCGGAGUAGGUAGACAGGGAGGUGGCCCAGAUUUCUAGGAGCUACUCAACAGAUUUGCAGGAGCACUCCACUAUUUUGGAGGUGCCAUCUUGAGAUAUUAUCUUUGUGUGUAUGUAUUUUGGGCAUGAUAGGGUCCAGUCCCGUCAUUAUGUCUAGUACUCUAGUAGAGGCUUGUAGAUACGUACGCGUGGGUAGUAGAUGUCUCAUGAUGACUACAUUGUAUAUUUGUAUAUCAUUUUGAUAGCCCGAGGGGCUUAUGCACAUGAGUGUAGAUACUUUUUGGAGUGCUAAUAAGUGGUGCUCGGUAGUCAGCUCCAGGUACCCGUCACGCCCCCCUAGUCGGGUCGUGACAAUUAAUGCUACUGUAAGAAUUUAAAAGC